UACGUAGGGUGCAAGCGUUAAUCGGAAUUACUGGGCGUAAAGCGUGCGCAGGCGGUUCCAUAAGACAGAUGUGAAAUCCCCGGGCUCAACCUGGGAACUGCAUUUGUGACUGUGGGGCUAGAGUACGGUAGAGGGGGAUGGAAUUCCGCGUGUAGCAGUGAAAUGCGUAGAUAUGCGGAGGAACACCAAUGGCGAAGGUAAUCCCCUGGACCUGUACUGACUAUCAUGCACGAAAGCGUGGGGAGCAAACAGG
rnacentral:rRNA from 1 species